GUAACCGGUCAUCCCAGUAGUAGUCUCCCAGGUGCGCCAUCCUGCUCGCAGCCCGAUCCCGGGCUAGGGCGCCGAAGAAGCUGGGGGAAGGCGGCACCCGAGCUGCACGGCGUGCUCAUGGGGGUGGAGGGACAGCGAGCCCCCCGGCGAUGAGACGGCCGCACUGGCUGUAUGAUGCGGUCGGUCUCCACCGGCUCCUUUUUCACUUCAAACUUCAUCAGAUCGAAGUCAUUAACAUAUUCCAUGGCCAGGGGACUGGUGGGCAGGUCGGAGUUGCUCAUCGCCAGUUCCGUUGCCAUCCUCCUGCCGCCGCCGCCGCCGCCGCCGCUCCGCCAGAUGGGCUGCAGGAGAGGGGCCAGCGGGCUGUGCUGGGCGGCGCGCUUUGCAUAAGGAGGGCUCGGCUCGCCGGGGCGCGCGCGGCGGCCGCUCGGGGCUGCAGGCGCGGCGGGCGCUGUCCGGGCGGUGCGGGCCUUGGCACGGGGGAGUUAACGCUUCAUGCUUCUCGCCUCCGCGUCUCCUGGCUCGCUCGCUCUCUUUUUCCUCUUUCUCUCUCUCUCCUCUCCCUCGCUCUCGCUCCCUCUGUGCACAGUGCAAGACAGAAGUGCAGCCUGGCUGGAGGGAAGGGAGCGAGGAGUUAA
rnacentral:lncRNA from 1 species